UAAGCUAGCUAGACUCUCAAUCAAAGGACAAGACCUUCUUAGUUCUCAGCCACUCAGUGUAUACUGAAGGAAAAAAAGAAAAAAAAGUAAAGGAAAAUGGAAGGUGGGUCUGCUGCUACUUCGAAUGGAAAUGAAGACAGCACAGAGAAAGGCUUGGAUCUUCCACUGAAUCGCCAUGGAAACUUGAAAAGUGCUUUCAGUGAUUAAAGCCUCAAGGACAUUCUUCUCCAAAUUAAGUCUUCCAAAACCCCUCUUCUGAGUGGGUCAAGGGGAAGCAAUUGGAAGAAGUUGUGACCAUUAAAAAACACAUAUGGGAUUGGUGGCAAAAAGAUAGCUUUUGUGGGACUAUUUGAACUCAAAUAAUUUUCUGUAAAGUUUGGAAGCUAAGACAUCAUUUGUAUAUAAAUAGUUGUAAUUACUUUGUGAACAUCUUUAUUGCAUUUUUAGAUUGUAUGGA